GCAAAGAUGGUUCAGGGGCAGAAUGCUCCCCUUUCAAGUGGGAAGCCCAGGUUCAAUUCCUAGACAGUGCA
rnacentral:tRNA from 1 species